rnacentral:tRNA from 1 species
CUCCUCGUAGUUCAAUGGAUAGAACGAGUGCCUCCUAAGCGCUAGAUACAGGUUCGAUUCCUGUCGAGGGGGCCA